CCACGUGCGAAUAGGAAAAGACGAGUAAGUAUUAAGAGGAGAAGAGGGCACAGUUAGAACGCGAUUGGAAUGAAGAGAGCGGCAAUGAAAACAAUGGCUCUUGAUAGAAAAAGAUGUUGAGAGAAUCGAAUGAAGCAAGAAAGUGAGAGGGAGGGAAAGAUUCUGAAGGCGUAAUUUUAGCGAACACAAGUGAUAAGAUUCUACUAGGGUUACGGGUUGAGGAAGAUCACAGUGUAAUGGAUUCGAAAGGGAUGGUCAAUGCUGAUACAAAGGGUGAAAAUGGGGAGGAACUGCUACAAGAGAAGCAUGCAAGGUUGGUUAUUAAGUACAGAGAAAUUUAUAUUCUUGAAAAAAGAACUUGGGAACAAACGAAGAUUCAUUUGUGAGGGGGACAUAACAGCAUAGGGGAUAGUAUAGGAGAUACCGGAUGGUGUGGGCAAAAUGAGAGAGGGCAAAAUGACGCGAAUGACAGAGGUGAGGAAUAAGAGGUUAUAGAAGACAUUGAUGUGUUAGAUGAUUUCGAUGAUAAUGAUAGAGAGGGGAAAUUUAGUCCUAAUAUAAAUGAAAUUAGGUACUCUGUUGAUGAUGUUAAUGAACUUGUGGAUAUUGGUGAUAUAAAUGAGGUUAUGUACAAUGUUGGUAAGGUAACUGAACAUGUGGACCCUGUUGAUGAAGUAAAUGAAGUGUACGAGAGUGUUGAUGAUGUAAAUGAGAGUGGGAGGGGUUCUAGUGAGGGCCUAGUUUUUCCAGGUGAGAGUGCAAGAUUUUAAAUCGAGGAUGAGGAGCAGAUUUCAGGAGAUUCUGAUAGUGAAGAUGUAAGUUAUGUGGCAGAAAAUGCAAGCUCUAAUACAGAGGAGAAUGUUGAGUCAGAUUUAGAAGUUGAAGCUAGUGAUGAAAGUGAGGAUGAGGAGGAAGGCCCACAAUAUGAUAUUGGGCCUCUAGAAGAAGUAAGAGAGGGUGUCAAUUAGUGGGCUCAGCUAGCAGGCCCUUCUUCAUGUUGGGCAUGACCUUUGUGGACAAGCAGGACCUUAAGAGGGCUUUGGAUAGACAUGCAAUAACUAAAGGAGUAAACCUGAGAAUGGCUAAGAGUGAUAAAAGAUUGGUAAAGGUAGUGUGCGAAGAGGGAUGUCCUUUUAUGUUGUAUGCUUCACGGGAUGGGCAACAAGUUGGUUUCAUGGUGAAGACCUUGUGUCCAGAGCAUAGAUGUGCUAUGAUGUAUAAAAACCCUAGAGCCUUCGUGCAGUGGUUAGCUGAACAUUUCAAAGAAAAAGCCCAAGAGAGCCCUCAUUUCAAGAUCAAUGAGAUGAAGAAGGAGGUUGAGCAUGAGUUUAAGGUCCAUGUUAGUAUACACAAGUAUAAGAGAGCAAGGAGGAAGAUCAUGGAUGACAUGGCAGGUAGCUUUAAGGAUUAGUUUGCAAAGUUAGAGGCUUACUGCAAUGAAUUGAGAAUCCCAAAUCCAGGAUCAGAUCUAAGUAUGGAGUUGAGUAAUGAGGCACUAAAGCAAGGUAGAAGGGUUUUUAAAAGGAUAUAUCUCUGUUUCAAUGCUUUUAAGGCAGGUGAUCAUCAAAUUUUCACUAUUUUUAAUCUCUAAAUUUAUUUGCUAGCUAUAUUAAUCUGUUAAACUUGUAGGUUGGGUGGAAAGAAGCAUGCAGGCCAUUAACUGGGCUCGAUGGCACUUUUCUUAAAGGUAAAUCAAAGGGAGUGUUACUUACUGCUGUUGAGAUCGAUGCCAAUGAUGCUCUCUAUCUAUUAGCAUUUGCACUAGUUGAAAGGAAAAUGGUCUUUAGUGGGAAUGGUUUCUUGAAUGGUUGCGAAUUUCAUUGGUCUUGAGGUCUGGUUCUACUUUAACCAUUAUGUCAGACAUGCAGAAGGUAACUAUAUUAUUAUUGUUGAUUAUUUAUAAACUUUGACAUCAAUGUAUGACUGAUUAACUUGUGUUGUUAGGGAUUGGACAAUGCUGUCACUAAUGUGCUUCCUAAGGCAGAGCAUAGAUUUUGUGCAAGACAUAUAUAUGCUAAUUGGAGCAAAACUUGGAGGGGCGUUGAGUUAAAGAAAAAGUUUUUUACUUGUGCAUGGAGUUCUUUUGUAGAAGAGUUCAAUGACAACAUGAAAGCUCUUGGUGCACUACACAAACAAGCAGCAGCUGCAACACUAACAUAUAAUCUAACUACUUGGGUAAGAGCAUUCUUUACCCCAAGAUGCAAGUCUUGGAUGGUAGACAAUAAUAUUAGUGAGAGCUUCAACUCCUGGAUUGAUGGGUAUAGAUAUCUUCCAGUGAUUAGGAUGUUUGAUGGCAUUAGGUUGAAGAUGAUGGGGAAAUGGGUUGAGGGUGAAACCAAUAUGAACAACUAGAAUGGUAUUUACAGCUGAAGGUUGGGGUUAUUUGAGGCUAAUAGGUUGUUAUCUGUUCAUUGUAGAGUCUUUUUCAAUGGGGAUGAAGGUUAUGAGGUAAGUGGGGGACAAGAUAAGCAUACUAUGUAUCUUAAUAGGGAGAUGUGCACAUGUAAGGCAUGGGAUUCAACUGGAAUCCCAUGCCAACAUGCAAUUUAUGCAAUGUAUCACUCAAAAAUAGAUCCCUUUUCCCAAAUCUCCCAUUACUACCAUAUAGACACCUAUAUAGCUAGCUAUAGGACAAACUUCUAGCCAGUUAGGGGCAGACAAUUCUGGGAUAUGGACAAAUUCCUCCCAAUGCAGCCACCAUCUAUUUCUGCCUUGCCUGGAAGACCUAGGAAAAAGAGAAAGAGAAUGGAAGAAUCACAGAGGAGGCUCAACAAGGGUAUGUCUACCUAGAAUGCAGAACAAAAUACUCAGCAACAAGCCCCUCAACUUGAGAAGUUGAGCAAACAAGGUCGCAUAGUGAGAUGUAGUUACUGUCGCACACGUGUAAAGAGGCACCUCCUUUAAGUGCUGCCCCUUAACCAAGGAAGAAUAGAAGAAAGCAAAAUGAGCCACAAUCACCCACUCGCUCCCAACCAUCAACACACCCUCAAUCUCUCUUCCAACCAUCAAUAUAGCCUCCAUCUCUCUCCCAACAACCUAAGCCUCAGACAAGAAGUGUGUACAAAUCAAGAGUGGUCACUAGAAUGGGUCUGAGAAUUGAUGAAAAUACAGGGAGAAUUCUUCAAUUUGUGAGUCACCAUUAUUGAUAUCUAAAUUUCUUUAUUCAUGCAGCCUAGAAUGAGUUCAGAAAUUGUGCUUCAUGAGGCAACCCCACAAGAAUAUCUGCAACAUUAUCCUAAACCCCAGACCAAAUUCCUAAUACCAAAUCAGAGGGAAUUGAGAAGGACACGGGGUACUGAGUCAAAUCAACCACAUGGUUGUAGAAGGAUUAAUUUCAACACACAACCAUCUGAACUCCCAUUAGGCCCCCAGGUCUCCAAUGGAGAGGAAACCCAAGUAUUAUAACUUCACAACUCCUUGCACAGAGACAGAGCUUCGUUGGAAAUACAACUAGGAGCAGAUCAAACAACUUUGAUAUAUAGCCUGCUAUGCUGUCAUUAUCUACAUAAUUAAUAGUGACAUAUAGGGUAUAUUUUGAAUGAAGUGUAUGGCAUAAGGGAUCCCUUUCUUUUUGGUGACUUUGACUUUGUCUUGGGAUGUAUACAGAUAUUUGUGGUCUUUUUUGUAUGUCAGAGGCAAUGUGUUGCCAAUGCCACGCUUCAUUUUCCAAUAUUUGGUCUCACUUUGACCUUUAGGAUGACAUUUGUAUGACAAAUGUUUAUGGUCUAUUGUGUAUGUCCAUAUAUUUUUGAUUUA